rnacentral:rRNA from 1 species
CAGCAGCCGCGGUAAUACGUAGGUGGCAAGCGUUGUCCGGAAUUAUUGGGCGUAAAGGGCUCGCAGGCGGUUUCUUAAGCCUGAUGUGAAAGCCCCCGGCUCAACCGGGGAGGGUCAUUGGAAACUGGGAAACUUGAGUGCAGAAGAGGAGGGUGGAAUUCCACGUGUAGCGGUGAAAUGCGUAGAGAUGUGGAGGAACACCAGUGGCGAAGGCGACUCUCUGGUCUGUAACUGACGCUGAGGAGCGAAAGCGUGGGGAGCGAACAGGAUUAGAGACCCCAGUAGUCCUGUCUCUUAUACA